UCUCCGUUGGUGAACCAGCGGAGGGAUCAUUACAGAGUUGCAAAACUCCCAACCCUUUGUGAACGAACCUGACAGUUGCUUCGGCAGAAGGCCCUUCACUGGGCAGCCCGCCGGAGGGUCUCUAAACUCUUGUUUUUUAGGCAUCUCUGAGUACAAAAACGAAAUAAUUAAAACUUUCAACAACGGAUCUCUUGGUUCUG
rnacentral:misc_RNA from 1 species